rnacentral:piRNA from 1 species
UCAGAAGUGCCGCUUCACAUGAGGGCUGC